GCACAAUGAGGAAUUAUUGCACUGGGCACUGAAAGCCAUGAGUGAUAACGCAUUAAGGUGAGCCUCAGAAACUCACCGUGACUGAGUGG
rnacentral:snoRNA from 1 species